rnacentral:rRNA from 1 species
UUUUAUUUGAGAGUUUGAUCCUGGCUCAGGAUGAACGCUGGCGGCGUGCCUAACACAUGCAAGUUGAGCGAUUUACUUCGGUAAAGAGCGGCGGACGGGUGAGUAACGCGUGGGUAACCUACCCUGUACACACGGAUAACAUACUGAAAGGUAUGCUAAUACGGGAUAAUAUAUUUGAGAGGCAUCUCUUGAAUAUCAAAGGUGAGCCAGUACAGGAUGGACCCGCGUCUGAUUAGCUAGUUGGUAAGGUAACGGCUUACCAAGGCGACGAUCAGUAGCCGACCUGAGAGGGUGAUCGGCCACAUUGGAACUGAGACACGGUCCAAACUCCUACGGGAGGCAGCAGUGGGGAAUAUUGCACAAUGGGCGAAAGCCUGAUGCAGCAACGCCGCGUGAGUG